AGUUCGAGACACACAAUGUUUCGGUACGCAAUGAUUCGAUAUUCAGGGAUUCGGAUUGAUGCAUUUGAGGCAGUUCCCUUUCACCUUGGCCCAAUGUCGGCGGCAUGAUCUGUUAGUGCUUCCCGGGGAUGGCCUCUGGACUCUGUGCUGAUGUUUUGUGGCAAUAACGGAGUGUUCGAGUUGAUAACUAUCCGUACGUACUAUGGUAACGGUCGAUGCAGUGCCCUCUCUUGAUGUCCACUGAUAUUGGACGUACAUAACCAAUUUCCGCUCAUCAUCCGGGGACUGGCAGCGUUGCUGGAAUCUUAUGUACAAUAAACAUCAUUGCGACAAGCUGUCUUCCAUGGCCCCGGGUUGAUGUAACAUGGACCCACCCAAUAAACAGCCCUAGGCUCCUUUGAAGAGCAUUCUACAGGGCCCUCACAUGGGGUGGG